rnacentral:rRNA from 1 species
GAUGAACGCUAGCUACAGGCUUAACACAUGCAAGUCGAGGGGAAACGACAUCGAAAGCUUGCUUUUGAUGGGCGUCGACCGGCGCACGGGUGAGUAACGCGUAUCCAACCUGCCCACCACUUGGGGAUAACCUUGCGAAAGUAAGACUAAUACCCAAUGAUAUCUCUAGAAGACAUCUGAAAGAGAUUAAAGAUUUAUCGGUGAUGGAUGGGGAGGCGUCUGGUUAGCUUGUUGGCGGGGUAACGGCCCACCAAGGCGACGAUCAGUAGGGGGUCUGAGAGGAAGGUCCCCCACAUUGGAACCGAGAAACGGUCCAAACUCCUACGGGAGGCAGCAGUGAGGAAUAUUGGUCAAUGGGCGAGAGCCUGAACCAGCCAAGUAGCGUGCAGGAUGACGGCCCUAUGGGUUGUAAACUGCUUUUAUAAGGGAAUAAAGUGAGCCUCGUGAGGCUUUUUGCAUGUACCUUAUGAAUAAGGACCGGCUAAUUCCGUGCCAGCAGCCGCCGUAA